rnacentral:rRNA from 1 species
AAAUUGAAGAGUUUGAUCAUGGCUCAGAUUGAACGCUGGCGGCAGGCCUAACACAUGCAAGUCGAGCGGUAGCACAGAGAGCUUGCUCUCGGGUGACGAGCGGCGGACGGGUGAGUAAUGUCUGGGAAACUGCCUGAUGGAGGGGGAUAACUACUGGAAACGGUAGCUAAUACCGCAUAACGUCGCAAGACCAAA